GUUUUGGUGGCCCAGUACCUAAGGCAUCGGUCUUGUAAACCGAAGGUCGGAGGUGAAACUCCUCCCCAAAAC
rnacentral:tRNA from 1 species